UGGGGAAUAUUGCACAAUGGGCGAAAGCCUGAUGCAGCAACGCCGCGUGAAGGAAGGAGGCCUUCGGGUCGUAAACUUCUGUCCUUGGGGAAGAAGAACUGACGGUACCCAAGGAGGAAGCCCCGGCUAACUACGUGCCAGCAGCCGCGGUAAUACGUAGGGGGCAAGCGUUAUCCGGAAUUAUUGGGCGUAAAGAGUACGUAGGUGGCAACCUAAGCGCAGGGUUUAAGGCAAUGGCUUAACCAUUGUUCGCCCUGCGAACUGGGAUGCUUGAGUGCAGGAGAGGAAAGCGGAAUUCCUAGUGUAGCGGUGAAAUGCGUAGAUAUUAGGAGGAACACCAGUGGCGAAGGCGGCUUACUGGACGGUAACUGACGUUGAGGCUCGAAAGCGUGGGGAGCAAACAGGAUUAGAUACCC
rnacentral:rRNA from 1 species